UCUCUCCGCUCCCAGGGUCCCCGGUAGUCCCGCUCGAAGCGGUGGUGGUGGCGCGACAUCGCUUCCUCGUCCUCUCAGAGGGAACAACGGGGGCAGGCCUGCAGGAAAAGAGAGAAGAGGUCAGAUGUGGAGUGGAUACAUGGAAUUGUGCAGCCGCGGUCACUCGCCAGUCUAGACGGUGAUUUACUGAAAAACACAGCAGUGUUUUGUCUUCCUGUAAACCUCGCAGCACACCGGAGAACAAAAUCAAUCCAUUUGACUAUGCAGAAAAGGCAUCGAGCUAAGUUUGCAUGUGCUCGCACGAGGAGAGCUUUGUGGCGUAACUCUCGGCAAAGCAGCAAGACGGAGAGAAGGAUGAAAAGGUCUGUUGCUGUCAGAACCAUGGCCCAAAACUCUCAGUCAGCCGACUCAGCUGGGGACGGCCUCUCCGACUCAAACAACUUCCCUGCCUGGUUGGAAAUGUGUUUACUGUAUUUGUACCACUACGCUGCACUGCCUGCCUCAUUCACCACAACCAAGCAAAAACUACAGCAGUCAUGCAGCUACUAGUGUGUGAGCAUUGUGUAAAUUCUGGCUGCAGCUUCUACUGGGGUUGAGUGCUGGUGUGCAUCCUUCUGUGCGUUUGGGGGGGAAUAGAUAAGGAAACAGUUUUUGAAAAGAGGAGUAAGUAAGGCUGUGUGUCAACUUUAUAUGUAUCAGUAGUCAAACGUUCUACUCUGUCAGCCUUUGCUGGUUCGUUUCAGCCUGACAUCUGUCUUCCUCUUCACUGAUGCACGGUUGGGUUGCAGCCAUAAACUGUAUAUAUAACAAACUCCUAGUUGGAAAAGUGAAGCCUAAACCUACAACAUUUCGAACAGCCAGCAGAGGGCGACCGGUUCAGAAGAGAAGUUUGCUUUUACAGACGUUGAUUAGAAAAUGACCGAACUUGUCACCUGACUUGUUAUCUCAGUAAAAAUUUUCCUAAUGAGUCUUUGGUCUCAAUCACUUGUUUUAAAUGUCUUUUAAUACAGCAUGAUAUUUGUUUUGUAAAUUAUGGCAAGGUAUGCAAUAAAGCAGGGUUUGUUUUAGGAUGGAGCCGUUUUGUGACUGACAUGGGGCUACCAUACAUGGAGCUACCUUGAGUAGUGUCCUUGAGUUUUCAGCCAGAUCCAAACCUCACUCCUUACAUCUCGUUUCAAAAGACCAAAAUGGCUUCAGAAUAGUCCACAACCCAGAGGGUGUCAUCAUGGUCCCUAGAGCCAUCUUUUAAAUACAGUUGCAAUCAAUUUUUACUUUUAUUAUUGAAUGGUAUGAUAUAUUUAGUUUGAGACAUCUUCAGAUACUGGAGGAUAAUUCAAAAAUAAACACGCUCCAGUUUCAUAGAGGACCUACUUACGACUGGCCUUAGUGAAAAUGCAAUGACUUCACACUUACAGAUUCACUUUUUCUUUUAUUUGGUUUUUUAUUUAACGAGGAAAAGUCUCCCUGAGAUUAAAAAUCUGUUUUACAACUGCCAAGCAGCAACCUCCUGCCAAGCUAAGCCAAUGCUGAUUGACCAAAAGCUGCAGUUCCACAACUGUCCACUUGAGGCUGAUUAACAAGUGAGUUAAUCUUCAUCAACCUCCAUGGUAAAAUGUUCAAAUUUAACAGCAGAAAUGAACAUGUUUACAGGCUGGUACGAAAAACUGUUUUUGUCUCUAUAACUAAAUUCCCCAUUCAUGGCAACUGUACAGGUUGUGAAUUGCUACAUAAAUGCCCUGUUUAAACUGUAUUAAAACUUAAAGUCAUGCAUAA